CACUUCCUGCCAGAUGUCAGCAGAUCUCUCAGUCCCAGCAGUAGUUUGACAGUCCUCGUAGCAGCAGAGUGCACGAAACUACAAGGUGAUUCAAACUCUCAGCCAUGCCUCGUAAGGAAAGGAAAACUCGUGAGGCUAAAGGUGGUGGACUCCUCAGCAGCUGGCUUAAAGAGAAGA